GACGUAGGGCGCGAGCGUUGUCCGGAUUUAUUGGGCGUAAAGAGUUCGUAGGCGGUUUGUCGCGUCGUUUGUGAAAACCAGCAGCUCAACUGCUGGCUUGCAGGCGAUACGGGCAGACUUGAGUACUGCAGGGGAGACUGGAAUUCCUGGUGUAGCGGUGAAAUGCGCAGAUAUCAGGAGGAACACCGGUGGCGAAGGCGGGUCUCUGGGCAGUAACUGACGCUGAGGAGCGAAAGUGUGGGGAGCGAACAGG
rnacentral:rRNA from 1 species